AAAAGGAAAGUAAGAAAAAGAAUAUAUGUGUGUGAGAGAAAAAGGAAAAAAAGGAACAACUGUUUUCAUUUUGUCUUUCUCUCUCUUUUUUU
rnacentral:ribozyme from 14 species